CCUGACGAACGGGCUUGAAUCCUCCGCGCAUCGGCCUCAUAAUGGCGGCAUGGUUGUAAUUCCGGCCAUCUGGAGUCAUUCUGGACGCGGGUUCGAAUCCCGCCACCUCCACCCAAGCGACGCCGUCGCGCGGACGUUUGGGUGGGGGUGUACCGGUUUCGACAGGGUGUGCAAAGGGUGAGCAGGCAACCCGUCAGGCGAUCGACGUUAAUGAAGCAAACCUAUAAACGCCAACGAUGAGCGUUUCGCACUGGCCGCCUAAGGCCGAUGCCGGGGCCGCUUGAGCCUUGUUACCCAAGAAAAGCCGCCGGGGGCGAAAGCCCCCGGCGUCA
rnacentral:tmRNA from 1 species